rnacentral:rRNA from 1 species
UACGGGGGGAGCAAGCGUUGUUCGGAUUUACUGGGCGUAAAGGGCGCGUAGGCGGCGUGACAAGUCACUUGUGAAAUCUCCGGGCUUAACUCGGAACGGUCAAGUGAUACUGUCGUGCUAGAGUACAGAAGGGGCAACUGGAAUUCUCGGUGUAGCGGUGAAAUGCGUAGAUAUCGAGAGGAACACCUGCGGCGAAGGCGGGUUGCUGGGCCGACACUGACGCUGAAGCGCGAAAGCCAGGGGAGCAAACGGG